AAGGAAGACCUAAUUCCGGUAGGAGACGAAAAAAAAGUAGUCCCUACCAAGAAUCAAUCCCAAAAGGUCGAAGCGAGGCAAGAUUGGCUUUCAAACUAGGUUCUGGGUUCAAACAAGACCUGAAUCAGGAACAAGGGCUAUUAGCUCAGGUGGUUAGAGCGCACCCCUGAUAAGGGUGAGGUCCCUGGUUCGAGUCCAGGAUGGCCCACCUGCACAGGUGGCAAAAACAAAGAAGCGAGGAAUCAGCACCUUAUCUUACUCAUAUAGUAAGAGAGAAUGCUGGCUCUGAGUAAAGAGUCCAGAGGAACCUUGAAAACUGCAUAGAGCUAGGUGAAAAAGCCAAAAAAGAAGACCGCAA
rnacentral:tRNA from 1 species